rnacentral:rRNA from 1 species
GACGAACGCUGGCGGCGUGCUUAACACAUGCAAGUCGAACGGAAAGGCCCUGCUUUUGUGGGGUGCUCGAGUGGCGAACGGGUGUGUAACACGUGAGUAACCUGCCCAUGACUUUGGGAUAACUUCAGGAAACUGGGGCUAAUACCGGAUAGGAGCUCCUGCUGCAUGGUGGGGGUUGGAAAGUUUCGGCGGUUGGGGACGGACUCGCGGCUUAUCAGCUUGUUGGUGGGGUAGUGGCUUACCGAGGCUUUGACGGGUAGCCGGCCUGAGCGGGUGGCCGGCGACAAUGGGACUACGGGAGGGCGCAGAGUGCAACGGGGGGCAACGGUGGCGAAUAUUACACAGUGGUGGCAAGCGUGAUGCAACAGCGUCGCGUGCGUGAUGACGGCCUUCGGGUUGAAAACCGCUUUCGCCUGUGACGAAGCGUGAAUGACGGUAAUGGAUAAAGAAGCACCGGCUAACUACGUG